CGAAAGGCAUCGUACGCGCAAGGCUUCAUGCUGCUGCGCGAAGCGGCCAGCGAGUAAAAGAGGAACCUGAACUACGGUUGCUCCUCGGCAACAUUUGAAACGUGUUGGUAAACAAUUCGCAUCGUACCAUCCAUCUUAUCAUGCGUAUUCCAUAAAAUUAUUCUGCAGUUAUGAAGCGGCUGACAUUAACUUGUUAUAAGGUUACCAAAACUGAAUUGAUGUAAGGCUUCAUGGUUCAGUAUUUGGCCGAAAACGUACGUACUAGUUCAUUGAACUAUAUAAAAAACAUCAAACCAGCACGCUGUUGCCUCGAGUCGAGUACAUGCUCCGAUUUAACCAAAUUGUUAUCCCUAAAGUGCAUAACCAUCCUAUGCAGAAAUACGUGCUCAAUGUAUGGCGUUGCUUGCUUGUACUUAAACAUAUACAUCUUUGAGUUGUAUGAGUCCCGUAAAUGGUCGAGCCACUUGAAAACAUACGUCCCCAUUAGACCUCAUCAAUAGAUCAUCUAAUAAACGACGGCGCUGCAUUUAAAGUGGUUCAUGGUAGACCUCAAAACUGGUUAGCACUUGAUAAAAAGUUCUACACAAGGACACUCCUGGGAACUACUCGUCGAAGCAUCGGGAGCUCGUCCGACGUUUGAUGUCAUGAUUAUCUAAAAUAAUAGAUUUGCCGGAAGCCGAACAACUAUUUCGCUAACUAAUAAUGAGCUGGAAUAGGAAAAUACGUAAAUCCGGAACUGAUUUUUGGCUACUCAAAACGACGCCACUUGUCGACUUGUUAUUGUUUAAUAAAACGCAUGCAAACCAAAUACCUUUGUU